UAGGGAAUCUUCCACAAUGGACGCAAGUCUGAUGGAGCAACGCCGCGUGAGUGAAGAAGGUUUUCGGACCGUAAAGCUCUGUUGUUGGUGAAGAAGGAUAGAGGUAGUAACUGGCCUUUAUUUGACGGUAAUCAACCAGAAAGUCACGGCUAACUACGUGCCAGCAGCCGCGGUAAUACGUAGGUGGCAAGCGUUGUCCGGAUUUAUUGGGCGUAAAGCGAGCGCAGGCGGAAGAAUAAGUCUGAUGUGAAAGCCCUCGGCUUAACCGAGGAAUUGCAUCGGAAACUGUUUUCUUGAGUGCAGAAGAGGAGAGUAGAACUCCAUGUGUAGCGGUGGAAUGCGUAGAUAUAUGGAAGAAUACCAGUGGCGAAGGCGGCUCUCUGGUCUGCAACUGACGCUGAGGCUCGAAAGCAUGGGUAGCGAACAGGAUUAGAUACCCUGGUAGUCCAUGCCGU
rnacentral:rRNA from 1 species